rnacentral:rRNA from 1 species
AACGAACGCUGGCGGCAUGCCUAACACAUGCAAGUCGAACGAACACUUCGGGUCCUGUCUCGCCCGGGUGCGUAACCCGUGGGAACCUUCCCUUAGGUUUGGCCUACCUCUCCGACAGGGGUGACAAUACGGGAUCAUGUCUUCGGCCCCAUGAUUUAUUGCACUUGGAUGUGCCCGCGUUGGAUUCGCUUGUUAGUAGGGUAAAAGAUUACUAAGGCGACGAUUCAUAACUGGGUUGAGAGACAGCUUAGCCACACUUGGAAGGGGACGCGGCCCAGACUCCUACGGGAGGGAGCAGUGGUGAAUAUUGGACAAUGGGCGAAAGCCUGAUGCAGCAAGGCCGCGUGAGUGAUGAAGGCCGUAGGGUUGUAAAGCUCUUUUACCCGGGAUGAUAAUGACAGUACCGGGAGAAUAAGCGCCGGCUAACUCCGUG